GUCCGUCCGAUUCAGCGAGCCAUUCUCAUCCACGGCCAUGAUUAUUCCUUCUUUCAGCAACUAUGUGUGUGUGUCACAGUGCCCAAAGACUGUUCCUUUUUCUCCUUUUCUUUAACUCUUUUUUCCUAAUUUGGGUUCUGUCGAAAAAGCAAACCAAAAAAAAGAUCAGUCCUUUCAUUUCCAAUUUUAUCAAGCUGGUGUUUUAAUAUUACAGUUUUUGGUCCACAAUAUGAGCCAAAAGGAAAAAAAAAGAAGAAUAAAUUGGAAAUCGGUAAUUCAUACCUGAUGAGUCUAAAGGGUGUCCAUUAAUCAAAGAACACAAAACCCAAACUCAAAGAUUGUGAGCAAAAACAGGGUAAGACUUUCCUUUUUUUUUUUCGUUGAUUUUACUGAGUCUGCAGAAACAAAAACAGAAUAAAUGACGACAGAGAAAGAGAUAGAGAAAUAGGAGAAUUCUGUAGUACAGUAGAGAGGGAGUAUUUUAGUUCUUUGGAUGGUCCGUUUUGCCACAGCUCAUUUUGUUUUGGACUUUGUUUACUGGUAAGC
rnacentral:lncRNA from 1 species